UAGUAAUAAUUAAGAAGGUCCAGAAGGAAAAAUCUCACAAUCUGCUUGCCAAAUCGAUAGAUCGAAGCCCUCGUUUUCCUCUCAGCUGGCCACUGGAAGCAGCCAGAGAAGCCCGUAAACGAUCGCUUUCAGCCAAUUUCAUCCCAAGUUCAAGCUUCGACCUUAAUCGGACCCUAGCCUCGAAUUUCAGUAAGAGGAAACAACAGUACAUAGGAGAAUACUAGAGUAUAACUAAGGGUGGUGGUGUUGGCGGUGAAGUAAUUCAGGUUACAAUGCUGAAAAACCCUGGUAUGGAUUCACCGGCAGCCGCGCCACCGUUAAGCGCUACGCUCCUCCCAAUCAACGGAAUCGAUCACUUGGCAGGCGCAAAUCCGGAGGAGAUCGUCUCGAACGGGCGAAUAGCUAUGUUAGUGAUGGAGAGAGAAACCCCAUUGGUGCAACUAAGAGCAAUCCUGUAGCAGAUCUUGGAGAAGGUGUUGGGAAUGUUCGUGCCAGCGAAAGCCUUUGGGUAAAGUUGAUACCUUUACAUGGCUGUUGCAACAGUGAAGCCUUUCAGCUUUUAAACAACCGUUGGGCUGCUACCAUGAGUGCGUACAACAAUUUGCCGGAAGAUUCAGCUGAAAGGCCAGUCUUGUACACAAGGAAAAGCGCAUCAGCCUGGGGUCAUGCAAUUCUUCCUCAUCUACUUAUUCAACCUACUGCUGGGGCUUCUACCGGUUUCCAGAGAGAUUUCUUGACCGAACUCCGACAGGCAAUGCAGAAUGCAAAUCCUUCUCCGAACCCCUGACCUGUGGGACGUAACUCGAAAUGCAACAAAAUCGUCUGUCUUGGACUCGGUAUCCUUUGACCUGUAUGCUAAUGAAUUUCUUGCUUGUUCUCAUAUAAUUUAUGAGCCAAGUGCAAGAACCACAAAGAUGGCUCUCCUUAACGUCGUGUAUGAUUAUUAGGAUGCUGUGUUAGUAUAAAGUAUCUGUUAUUGUAUGGAAUUGAAUUGAGUAUCUUGUCUGUGUUACAUAUUCUAUCCAAAACUCUUUUCCCCGAUCGUAUCUCAA